UACGUAGGGCGCGAGCGUUGUCCGGAAUUAUUGGGCGUAAAGAGCUCGUAGGCGGUCUGUCGCGUCUGCCGUGAAAACCCGAGGCUUAACCUCGGGCCUGCGGUGGAUACGGGCAGACUAGAGGUAGGUAGGGGAGAAUGGAAUUCCCGGUGUAGCGGUGAAAUGCGUAGAGAUCGGGAAGAACAUCAGUGGCGAAGGCGGUCUGCUGGGCCGUUGCUGACGCUGAGGCGCGACAGCGUGGGGAGCAAACAGG
rnacentral:rRNA from 1 species